GAUGAACGCUGGCGGCGUGCCUAAUACAUGCAAGUCGAGCGAACGGACGAGAAGCUUGCUUCUCUGAUGUUAGCGGCGGACGGGUGAGUAACACGUGGAUAACCUACCUAUAAGACUGGGAUAACUUCGGGAAACCGGAGCUAAUACCGGAUAAUAUUCUGAACCGCAUGGUUCAAAAGUGAAAGACGGUCUUGCUGUCACUUAUAGAUGGAUCCGCGCUGCAUUAGCUAGUUGGUAAGGUAACGGCUUACCAAGGCAACGAUGCAUAGCCGACCUGAGAGGGUGAUCGGCCACACUGGAACUGAGACACGGUCCAGACUCCUACGGGAGGCAGCAGUAGGGAAUCUUCCGCAAUGGGCGAAAGCCUGACGGAGCAACGCCGCGUGAGUGAUGAAGGUCUUCGGAUCGUAAAACUCUGUUAUUAGGGAAGAACAUAUGAGUAAGUAACUGUGCACAUCUUGACGGUACCUAAUCAGAAAGCCACGGCUAACUACGUG
rnacentral:rRNA from 1 species